UCAUGAGUGUCGAGUGGAUGAAGGGAGCUUGCUCCUGGAUUCAGCGGCGGACGGGUGAGUAAUGCCUUCGAAUCUGGUGGUAGUGGGGGAUAACGUCCGGAAACGGGCGCUCGUAUGGGAUACGUCCUGAGGUAGAAGUGGUUAAUCUUCGCACCUCGCGCUAUCAGAUGAGCUUAGGUCGGAGUCCGUAGCUGGUGGGGGAAAGGCGCACCAAGGCGACGAUCCGCUUCUGUGCUGAGAGGAUGAUCAGUCACACUGGAACUGACCCAGGAUCAAAUCUUCUACGGGAGGCAGCAGUGGGGAAUAUUGGACAAUGGGCGAAAGCCUGAUCCAGCCAUGCCGCGUGUGUGAAGAAGGUCUUCGGAUUGUAAAGCACUUUAAGUUGGGAGGAAGGGCAGUAAGUUAAUACCUUGCUGUUUUGACGUUACCAACAGAAUAAGCACCGGCUAACUUCGUGCCAGCAGCCGCGGUAAUACGAAGGGUGCAAGCGUUAAUCGGAAUUACUGGGCGUAAAGCGCGCGUAGGUGGUUCAGCAAGUUGGAUGUGAAAUCCCCGGGCUCAACCUGGGAACUGCAUCCAAAACUACUGAGCUAGAGUACGGUAGAGGGUGGUGGAAUUUCCUGUGUAGCGGUGAAAUGCGUAGAUAUAGGAAGGAACACCAGUGGCGAAGGCGACCACCUGGACUGAUACUGACACUGAGGUGCGAAAGCGUGGGGAGCAAACAGGAUUAGAUACCCUGGUAGUCCACGCCGUAAACGAUGUCGACUAGCCGUUGGGAUCCUUGAGAUCUUAGUGGCGCAGCUAACGCGAUAAGUCGACCGCCUGGGGAGUACGGCCGCAAGGUUAAAACUCAAAUGAAUUGACGGGGGCCCGCACAAGCGGUGGAGCAUGUGG
rnacentral:rRNA from 1 species